UACGUAGGGUGCAAGCGUUAAUUCGGAAUUACUGGGCGUAAAGCGUGCGCAGGCGGUUUUGUAAGUCUGUCGUGAAAUCCCCGGGCUCAACCUGGGAAUUGCGAUGGAGACUGCAAGGCUAGAAUCUGGCAGAGGGGGGUAGAAUUCCACGUGUAGCAGUGAAAUGCGUAGAGAUGUGGAGGAACACCGAUGGCGAAGGCAGCCCCCUGGGUCAAGAUUGACGCUACAUGCACGAA
rnacentral:rRNA from 1 species